AUUCAGAGCAGUCUCCCUCUGAGUUUUUAUUUUUCUGUGAAGACUACUGAGGGCUGUCAGGAAGGAUGGUCUUGGAGUGAAGGCACUGGACGGGACUCAAGAAAUCUGAGUUCAAUUCCUGGCUACCUGUGGCAGAAUUUGAACACAGCACCAAAC